GGGGACUUGGUGUAGUGGUUUACACGCGUCGGGUCUGGAAGCGACCCGUUGAGCCCGUGUGUUAAUACCGAGAAUUAGCGCAUGCGACGAGCCGAGGGUUCGAUUCUCUCAGUCCCCA